AGUGAACGCUGGCGGUAGGCCUAACACAUGCAAGUCGAACGGCAGCACAGUAAGAGCUUGCUCUUACGGGUGGCGAGUGGCGGACGGGUGAGGAAUACAUCGGAAUCUACUUUUUCGUGGGGGAUAACGUAGGGAAACUUACGCUAAUACCGCAUACGACCUACGGGUGAAAGCAGGGGAUCUUCGGACCUUGCGCGAUUGAAUGAGCCGAUGUCGGAUUAGCUAGUUGGCGGGGUAAAGGCCCACCAAGGCGACGAUCCGUAGCUGGUCUGAGAGGAUGAUCAGCCACACUGGAACUGAGACACGGUCCAGACUCCUACGGGAGGCAGCAGUGGGGAAUAUUGGGCAAUGGGCGCAAGCCUGAUCCAGCCAUACCGCGUGGGUGAAGAAGGCCUUCGGGUUGUAAAGCCCUGUUGUUGGGAAAGAAAAGCAGUAGGUUAAUACCCCGCUGUUCUGACGGUACCCAAAGAAUAAGCACCGGCUAACUUCGUG
rnacentral:rRNA from 1 species